GACGAACGCUGGCGGCGUGCUUAACACAUGCAAGUCGAACGGAAAGGCCCUGCUUUUGUGGGGUGCUCGAGUGGCGAACGGGUGAGUAACACGUGAGUAACCUGCCCUUGACUUUGGGAUAACUUCAGGAAACUGGGGCUAAUACCGGAUAGGAGCUCCUGCUGCAUGGUGGGGGUUGGAAAGUUUCGGCGGUUGGGGAUGGACUCGCGGCUUAUCAGCUUGUUGGUGGGGUAGUGGCUUACCAAGGCUUUGACGGGUAGCCGGCCUGAGAGGGUGACCGGCCACAUUGGGACUGAGCUACGGCCCAGACUCGUACGGGAGGCAGCAGUGGGGAAUGUUGCACAAUGGGCGGAAGCAUGGUGCAGCAAAGCCGCGUGCGGGAUGACGGCCUUCGGGUUGUAAACCGCUUUCGCCUGUGACGAAGCGUGAGUGACGGUAAUGGGUAAAGAAGCACCGGCUAACUACGUG
rnacentral:rRNA from 1 species